rnacentral:rRNA from 1 species
AUUGAACGCUGGCGGAAUGCUUUACACAUGCAAGUCGAACGGCAGCACGGGGGCAGCCCUGGUGGCGAGUGGCGAACGGGUGAGUAAUACAUCGGAACGUGCCCGGUCGUGGGGGAUAAAGUAGCGAAAGUUACGCUAAUACCGCAUACGAUCUGAGGAUGAAAGCGGGGGACCUUCGGGCCUCGCGCGAUCGGAGCGGCCGAUGUCAGAUUAGGUAGUUGGUGGGGUAAAGGCCUACCAAGCCGACGAUCUGUAGCUGGUCUGAGAGGACGACCAGCCACACUGGGACUGAGACACGGCCCAGACUCCUACGGGAGGCAGCAGUGGGGAAUUUUGGACAAUGGGCGCAAGCCUGAUCCAGCCAUUCCGCGUGCAGGACGAAGGCCUUCGGGUUGUAAACUGCUUUUGUACGGAACGAAAAGGCUCUGGCUAAUACCUGGGGCUCAUGACGGUACCGUAAGAAUAAGCACCGGCUAACUACGUG